rnacentral:rRNA from 1 species
CGUAUGCAAUCUACCCACUGCAGAGGGAUAGCCCGUGGAAACAUGGAUUAAUACCUCAUAAUACAGGGAGCCCACCUGGGCAUAUUGUUAAAGCUCCGGCGGCAGUGGAUGAGCAUGCGUCCCAUUAGCUAGUUGGUAAGAUAACGGCUUACCAAGGCAAUGAUGGGUAGGGGUUCUGAGAGGAUGAUCCCCCACACUGGUACUGAGAUACGGACCAG